GUGGCAGCAGUGGGCCAGGCAUGCCUGUCCUUGGGUCCCAGUCAGCAUACGUGGGCAUCAGUAUUACCAGACACAAGUGAGCUGAUUAUUGUGCCUCUGGAGAGCUUGCUUGGGUGCCAGCAGUGGUAGCCAUAGGGCAGGUAGGUAGGCAGAUCCUUGGUCCCCUGGAUAGGAUGUGGAGCAUGGGUGAUGGCAGCAGCAGUGGGGGGACAUCCCUUGGGCUUUGAAGUGGCAUGCAUUAGUGUUAGCAGUUGCUGCAAUGGGCUAGGCAGGCCAGUUCCCAAACUUCCAGGUGGCACAUGCAGCUGGUUGCUAACUAUGGCAUUAGCAGCAGGCUGGCUGGGCCCAUGCUCAGUCCACUGGGAGAAGUACACAGAUGACGGUGGUGAACAGGAUGGGGCAAUCCCCAAGACCCCAGGUAGUGUGUUCAAGCACUGUUGAGAGAAGUAGGGGUGAGCAGCAGCAGCAAGGGAAACUAGUCCUCAUGGCAUAUGCAAGUACAUGGUGGCAACCCUGAUGCUAGAGGGCCAGGGUCACUGUCAGUGGCAUGCACUUUGGCCCUCAGCUGCAACAGCAGCUACUGCAGAUGGCAGCAUAGCUUGUCCUACUGCUGGGGCUGGGGGUUGAGGUUGCUGUCUGUGGUAACUUUCCCUGGUAGGUGGUUCUCAGACUCUACAGAGAGCAUGUUGUAGCUCUCUUUGUCCUGGGGACAUCGUCCUUGGUAAGCUGCACUGCCCAUUCUGUGGGGCACAGACAAGUUUGUACUAGAGUGCUGGGAAGCCUGACAUUCCACUGGGUCCAGCUGGCAUCAUGCUUCCGCAGUCCUCCAGGUGAACUCAGAAGUAUGUCAGUGUACCUCCAGGGAUGUGGAGAUGCAGGGGCUGUUGUGGCCCAGGGCAGGAUGCAGUCUGGUGGGGGCUGAGCUCUCAAAAUGGCACCAUGCUGCAUCUGCUUGGUACUCAGGAGGUAUUUGGGACCCAGGAUGAAUUCUCUCUCUGGAGCAAUGCCAUUGCACAGUUUCUAGGCAGGUCACUAUGCCAUUCCUAGGGCCUGCAAAAGCUGCUCCCAUGGGUAAGAUUGUAAGAGUCCACAGUGGAAAUGUGAACCACUCGUGGUCUUUCACUUACUCUUUCCCCACAUUAGGGAACCUCCCCAGGUUCCCAUCCAAUCUUUGCUUUGCUUUCCUCCUCUUCUGUGCCUUAGGUGUUUUCUGUCACUUCUCUGUUGAAUUUCAGUGCUCUCUCUUAGAAGAUCUAUUUGAAGUGGGAUUAUCCACUUACUAUUUAGGUUCUUCUUGGAGGAGGCAAGUGUUGUAUUCCUCUAGUCAGCCAUCUUUAAGCCCCUCUCUCUAGGGUAACUUUUAAAGAAGUUUGAGGUAUGACAAUAAAAACUCAAAUACAAAUAUUUCUGUAAAAAACAGGAGUUAGAAAUACAAAUAAUGAUAACAUAAUACAGCUGCCAUUAAAAUAGUGCUUACUAUCAGACAUUAUUCUAAGACCUUUACAUUAAUCAACUCAUUUAAUACUCAUGCUAUAAU
rnacentral:lncRNA from 1 species